ACAGACAGCAAUGCCCUCCUUCAGUCUUUUGGGAAGCUGCUGAGCUGAGUCAGGGGUUUCCUAUAGCCCUGUAUACGUGAUGCCAAUACGUCAACAAAGCUCUGUUGCUAGCUGAGAAUCCCUUAGGCGCUGCUGUGUUGCUGUUCUCUAAAGUGGUGGGAGAGAGAGGGAGCUAGACCUGUUCAGAUUUCUUGAGAAAAGUUCUGAAUUCAUUGUUAUGAGGGAGGUAUAAGAUAGAGGAGGAUGUGGGGUACUACCGAUACUCCAGAUCUGAGAGAGAAAACGUCUCUCUCCACCAUGAAUUUGUACACAGUGGUAUCUUCCUGCUGUGUUCCUGAAAUCAGCGUCUGGUGUUCAUGCUCUCAUUGCCAAGUGAUGGAUCCCGGGCAUUUUAGUUUCAGUUACCUGCAAUCAGCCAUGUUCUGGGAGCAGAUGAUCCUGCUUCUGACACAUUGUCAAAAGGUCAACAGUAGCCUGAUGCUCUGUCACAAUGUCUACAUCAUUCACCUCACUUCAUCUCAUCACGUAGGCGUGGUAUGUUCUCAAUCAUCACAAGAAGGAGGUCCAUCACUCCUUUUACAGUUCUCCAUCGCGAAGAGUGUAAACUGCCUCCUAAUUUUGGCAUCUGCUACCUGCCUUUCUGGCUGCUCCCUGUUGCUUCCUGAUGUCACUCUGUCAAGUAGACACUUGAGGAUUUCUUUGCUAUCCAGUCUAACAUUUGGAGGCUGUUUCAGAUGCUCUUGACUUCGGAACCAUCUCCCUCUCUGGCUCUGACACAUGGUUCUAUGCCCUCAUAGUGGCUGUGCUUGAAUAACUGGCUCUUACAAAGGCCAUUUCCCUGUUUGCUCUAUGUAAAUAGAAUCACACGUUAGGUACUGUUCUCUGGAAUUGUAGUAAGAUGGUUGAAGUUGUAAUUUUGUAUAUUCAUAUUAGCACAUUGGAAUAUGUUUCCUGUUUCCUUUGGUCUUCCUGGUUUUCUGCGUGCCUGGCCACUUGAGCGAAGAUGAAGGAGAAAUCACAUUUGAAGCAGGGGUUAAGGAGACUUGGCUGAACUUCCUAAAACUUUAUGAGCAAAGCUGUUGGCCAGAAAUUCCAUGUGUUGUUUUAACUCUGUUUUCUUACUGCAUCUCCCUCUGAAAAAGUGCAAAGAGUUACCCCAUUGGCCAGCUGCUAGUUGCUGCACUGAAGAGUCGGAUACGAUUAGCAUCAACCAAAGUUAGAAAUGGAUAGCUGAGGGUAAAUGUUUUCGAGUUGUUGAAAACAGAAGUAUGGACUUUAACAUCCAACCUCGGGAGCCGUUGUUUGAGAGCGCCAGUCUAUGAGAUCAUGUAACAGCAAGGCCUCUAAAAAAUCACUCUACAUCUGCCCAAGGUGCUGAUAUUCAGUUAGAUGAGUUUUGGCCUUGACUAGAGAGAAAUCUAAGUAAAACUGGUUAUGAUUAGGAAAAGGAAAAACGAUCUCACUGUUUUGUGUUCUAUAGGAGUUUAUAGUUCUUUCAUAUCAAUGAGUAAGAUUUUAAGCAUUUUUAUAUAUUUGCUAUAAAUAUUUCCCUAGUUUGCUGUUUACUUUUCAAUUUUAAUUCUUUUGAAUGAUUUAAAAUUUAUAUGUAGUUAAAUCAGAUGAUUUUUCCUUUUAAUUUCUUUCACUGUUUUAAGCUUAGAAUGUUUUCUUUCUAAAACUUUGGUAUUUGAUACUAUUUCUUCUAGCUUUUGAUAGAUUAAUUUUUUAAACCAACUGUACUUUUUUUAUUCACUUGGAAUUUAUGUGGGUCCAUGGUACAAGAUAAUGACUAAACUGGCUUCUUUUCCUAAUGAGUAAUAGCAUUAUUUGUUGAUUCAGUAUUCCUCUUCUCUGCUGACUUGUGAUUUCUCUUCCGUCAUAUAUCAUAUAUUCGUAUGAUUUAUUUCUGAGCCAUCUAUUCUGUUCCAUUGGCUUGUCAGUCUAUUCUUGUGCUAUAAUCAUGCCUGUUUUAAUUAGUAUUAGUAAUUGGCAUGCAUUAGUAUUCAGUAGAGCUGUUCUUCUAACAAGGAAUGAGGAUUCUUUUGUACCAGAAGUUAGCAGGUAAGCUUCUUAAUUAUAAUUUUAUUAUCAACUUACGAAACGGUAUCAUAUAAAUCUAUUGUAUUUAAAUAUAUAUGUAGGCUCAAAAAGUAUAAUAAAAGCCUAUCCGCUCAGCUUUAGACUAACUUUCUUGUAUAUUUGAAGAGCUGUUUUUCUGUUUAUUUCAAAACAUCUCAAAGAGAUAUUCAAUACACACUAUAUGUCCAUGCCAUGAGACCUGGUUUUAGAGAACUUACUCUGUUCUAAAAACAAUCUCCCAUUAACCCUGGGCACAAAACAAGGUGGAGAAGGAUAAAAAUGGGAAAAGCUGCCGUUUUAUACUCCAGUAUUAAUAAAUCAAUUAUGGACACUCUGGAGCGGUAGGAUUAUGCCUCUUUCUUGCCCCCUCCUCGCCUCUUUUUCCUUUUAAAAAUACUUUUUAAUUUAAUUAUGAAUA
ensembl:lncRNA